rnacentral:rRNA from 1 species
AAAACAACUACGGAGGGGGUUAGCGUUGUUCGGAAUUACUGGGCGUAAAGCGCACGUAGGCGGAUUGGAAAGUAUGGGGUGAAAUCCCAGGGCUCAACCCUGGAACGGCCUCAUAAACUCCCAGUCUGGAGUUCGAGAGAGGUGAGUGGAAUUCCGAGUGUAGAGGUGAAAUUCGUAGAUAUUCGGAGGAACACCAGUGGCGAAGGCGACCACCUGGCCAAAUACUGACGCUGAGGUGCGAAAGCGUGGGGAGCAAACAGG